rfam:Fusarium graminearum chromosome 3, complete genome
GGGCGAAUGGUUUAGUGGUAUAAUACUCCCUUAGCAUGUUCUCGAUUCCGAGUCUUCAUUGGGAGUGGUCCAGGGUUCGAUUCCCUGUUCGUCCA